GGAUGAAGAGGACAAUGAAGAUGUGUCCAUGCAGGGGCAGCUUUGCCACAAAGACUGAAAGAUUGGUGUCAAAGCAAAAAAUUGACUCUGUGAUUGGAGGACUGUGAGCUACCCAGGCAGACAUUAACUGCAGUGCUGUACAGAGUGCUUCUAGAAAUGAAGAGGGACUCUAGUCUAUAGGAAAGACAGAGGCUGGCUGUGACAAGCUGACGCAACCCUGGAGAGGAAUGCUGCUUUCCUGUGGUCAGCAACACGGGACCGGCUCCUGGGAGCAGUGUGUUACGGAGCUCAGCUGCGCAU